CUUCUUGUCGGAUAUGGAUCCCUAAAAAUUUAAGUACCAGUUCGUCGAAACGAUUCUGUGCACUUUCAGCACCAUUUUUGUGAUACUGCUCGACGAAAGAUUUAAUCAAUAAGUGCACUUGACAUAAAUAUAACCGCUAGGAAUGAAAAUGUUUGUCGGUGUCGGUCAUGCAAAUGCGAAUACGCCCACGGCAAGUUCUUAGUGACUGAUUGGACAGGCGGAGAAAGCUUCGGAGGUCAGACGAUGAGCUGGUCCUAAUCUCACAAAAGACGGAAGUGAUUUUAUACCUAACUACUAGUGUUCCAAGAUCUACCACUGCUUCUACAGUUUCUUUAUCACAACUAAUCGAUCGUUCGGGGUUCACACACGUUCAAUAUGCACUAUAGAGAGUAUUGACAAAACUGUUAAAAGUGUAAUGGAAAAAAAUUGGAUUGACGAUGUGCAUCCUAAGAUGGACGUAUGUAAUUCCAUCAAUCCGUCCGUAACGGCCCGCUAUUGGUCCCAAGCAAUUGAUUGCGAGCCACUAAUUGCCCUGCAAAGAAAAAUGCGUCGGAUGAAUUGUGAAGGACGUGAGAGUUAAAUCAGAAGUUAAGGCGAUCAACCUGAUGGCAAGCGAUGAACGGCAAAAUUCGGCCGCUCAGUCUAAUCGAUACUCUAUAGAAAACAUUAAAAGGCUCUCAUAAGAGCAUAAUUUAUGUCAGACUGCAGGAAGGGUAGUAAGUGGCAGGAUGAGAAAAAUCUAUCAGAGCAGAACCAAGAAAGCAGUUUGGAAAGUGCUCAAUGAAUUACUGAAUAUCACUCAUUAGUAACUCAACAAGACAGUAAAUU